rnacentral:tRNA from 1 species
GCCCCGGUAGUUUAGUCUGGACAAAACGCCGGACUGCGGAUCCGGAGAUCGGGGGUUCAAAUCCCCCCCGGGGCG